UACAUAUCAAUAAGCGGGAGGAAAAGAAACUAACAAGGAUUCCCCUAGUAACUGCGAGUGAAGCGGGAAAAGCUCAAAUUUAAAAUCUGAUGGUCUUUGGCCGUCCGAGUUGUAAUUUAGAGAAGCGUCUUCCGCGCUGGACCGUGCACAAGUCUCCUGGAAUGGAGCGUCAUAGAGGGUGAGAAUCCCGUCUUUGGCACGGACACACCAGGGCUUUUGUGAUGCGCUCUCGAAGAGUCGAGUUGUUUGGGAAUGCAGCUCAAAAUGGGUGGUGAACUCCAUCUAAAGCUAAAUAUUGGCGAGAGACCGAUAGCGAACAAGUACCGUGAGGGAAAGAUGAAAAGCACUUUGGAAAGAGAGUGAAACAGUACGUGAAAUUGUUGAAAGGGAAACGCUUGAAGUCAGUCGCGUCGACCGAGACUCAGCCUUGCCUUGGCUUGGUGUACUUCUCGGCUGACGGGUCAGCAUCAAUUUUGCCCCUUGGAUAAUGGCGAGGGAAAUGUGACACCUUUGCGGUGUGUUAUAGUCCCUCGUCGCAUGCAAGGGUUGGGAUUGAGGAACUCAGCACGCGCCUUUGGGCGUCGGGGCUUUGCCCACGAUACGUGCUUAGGAUGUUGGCGUAAUGGCUUUAAACGACCCGUCUUGAAACACGGACCAAGGAGUCUAACAUGCCUGCGAGUGUUCGGGUGGAAAACCCGUGCGCGCAAUGAAAGUGAAAGUUGGGACCUCUGUCGUGGAGGGCACCGACGCCCGGACCAGACCUUCUGUGACGGCUCUGCGGUAGAGCAUGUAUGUUAGGACCCGAAAGAUGGUGAACUAUGCCUGAAUAGGGUGAAGCCAGAGGAAACUCUGGUGGAGGCUCGUAGCGAUUCUGACGUGCAAAUCGAUCGUCAAAUUUGGGUAUAGGGGCGAAAGACUAAUCGAACCAUCUAGUAGCUGGUCCUGGCGUGUG
rnacentral:rRNA from 1 species